rnacentral:rRNA from 1 species
CCUACGGGAGGCAGCAGUAGGGAAUCUUCCACAAUGGGCGAAAGCCUGAUGGAGCAACGCCGCGUGAGUGAUGAAGGCCUUCGGGUUGUAAAACUCUGUCAUUCGGGACGAACCGGAGUCUGAGGAAAUGCAGACUCUCUGACGGUACCGGAGGAGGAAGCCCCGGCUAACUACGUGCCAGCAGCCGCGGUAAUACGUAGGGGGCAAGCGUUGUCCGGAUUCACUGGGCGUAAAGCGCGCGCAGGCGGUGAUGUAAGUCUGAGGUGAAAACCCGAAGCUCAACUUCGGGACUGCCUUGGAUACUGCGUCACUUGAGGAUAGGAGAGGCAAGGGGAAUUCCACGUGUAGCGGUGAAAUGCGUAGAGAUGUGGAGGAACACCUGUGGCGAGGGCGCCUUGCUGGCCUAUUUCUGACGCUGAGGCGCGAAAGCGUGGGGAGCAAACAGGAUUAGAUACCCUGGUAGUCCACGCUGUAAACGAUGAGUGCUAGGUGUAGGUGGGCUCAUACCCAUCUGUGCCGAAGCUAACGCAUUAAGCACUCCGCCUGGGGAGUACGGUCGCGAAGACUGAAACUCAAAUGAAUUGACGG